UUAAAUCUUAUUUUAAAAAAUAUAUUUUUAUUCCAUGAAUUAUUUUUAUUCCAAUUUAUAAAGAUAAAACUAUCUUACUAAUAAAUAACCUCAAAAGAUCGAAACACACCUCGAUUUUCAUAGAGUUUAUUAGCUAACAUAGCUCGGUUGCAUAAUAGUUAGAAACGCAUAAAACGCAAUUAUAAAUCCAUUUCAUAAUGCGAACUGUUAGUGCCAGAUACAGACGUAUACGCGUGUAUAUUGAAAGUGCAAUAUGUUCGCGUUAAAACAUCCGCUUGCUAAAUACGGUAUAAGCGUAUCUUAGAAUCAUACCUGGUGAUACUGUUGCAGCAUUUUAGCUUUGUCGCUGACAUCUGAAUCGUAAUUGCGUACGAAAUAUUAUAGUAUACGUAUAAGGAUUUCCUAAUAUGGAUUAAGCUUAUAUGGAAAGAUAAACUAUUCUACAUUAGGAUGUCUAACGUCCUCUCUAACAUCUUGUAUACAAGAACGAGUCCGGUUGUGUAACGGUUUAAUGGCAAAAACUAUAUUACCGGCAUAAAAGAACAAGAAUAUAAUUUCUUUGCACAAUUUUUCAUUUGUUGUUUCACGAAAAUAUAACUGUUGUACGGAAAUAUCUCUCGUCAUUUUAUAUAUUAAUUGUGCUUUUUAUAGUGAAAUAUUUUCCUCUAGAAAAGGAAUGUAGUAAAAAAGGAUUGACAGUGGAUCGUAUUGCUCGUCGGAGGUGAAAAAAUUUUCUCAAUAAUUUUAUAUGAAUCUUUGUUAUCUUUUUCUCUUUUGUGUAUUAAAGUUUGUGACACAAGGAUAUUAUAAAAUUUUACAAAGUAUAUUUGUCUACAAUUAAUGAAUCUUACAAAUUUUCGAAUUUACGUUACGUCUACGAAGAAGAGGUUAACUUUCUUAUAACUUCGGACAAGAUAUCUAUGUUGGUCAAAAAGAAUAUACGAAAAGGAAGGGCGAGAAACUGAUCAUUACGAAGCGAAUAGCUGCGUCGAAGUUGUGAGAACCGUGGUGCUCUGAGACGGUGUUAUUAAGCAAAAAUAUUACACCGUUUUCAGAGCAUUAACGAACAAGUUUUACAGGGGAACGUAAACCGUGGCCGGCUCAUAUAUUAAGCUGGUUUGAAUGUUCUAUGAACGAAUACGACAAAUCCGUGCUUCGGUUCUGACCUUCUUUGGCGCGACAGCGUGGGCGCAUUUACUUCAGACGGAAUUACAGUCUGCACUUACUCCAUCUUACCUCAGUCAUUUCAGUAUAAGUAACUGCAAUCGUGAACCGUGACUGCUGUAUCGUAUCAUCUGGUUUACGUAAUUAUACGUAUGAAUGCACCGUCUUGAAUCGAAAGGUAAUUCGCCCGGAAGUGAUUCUUACGGAGUGAGCUUGGUGGUCCUUGAUGAUUACAGAAUUUAGAAUUCGUCGCAGUAUAGGAAGAAACUGGUUUUACCUGAAUCAUUUCACGGUUGGGAAAAUGGAUCGCACAUUAGCCAGGAUACUGUUAGAAGUUGUCGAAUUUACUCGCAAUGUUAUAUUAUAAAAAAAUAUCAGUUCAAGGAAGAUUGAUUUUUAAGGAAAUAUAAGGAGAUGUAUAUUCUUAUUUUACUAUGCAUUUUUGCAAUUAAAUGCAUGGUAUGUAUAAAUGGAUCGAGUUCAAGUAUUUUCAUGAUUCAGAACUUGUAUCUUUGAAUGGAUAAAUGAAAUCUAAUAUACGGAUCAACAAUAAGUAUAAUAUUAUAGUAAGGAAACUUGGUUAAAAGCCAAGAAAUGUAAAUCACGUAGAUAGUUUGAUCUACACGGAAUCGUAAUGGAUAUGCAAAACUAGAGUAAAGUGCCAGAUACCGUUUAGUGAUUGGAAUAAGCACGAUUCAGACUGUAUUACCUUUGCAGUCAAUCACGUGUUUGAUUAUAUUAUCUGCAAAGUAAGCUGUUUUCAUCGAAAAUCGAUUUUUUGUUUAUAAUUCUAAAUAUAUAUUUGAUAUUGGAAUUUUUUACAUAAACAUUAAUCUUAUAAUCAUA